rnacentral:rRNA from 1 species
AUUGAACGCUGGCGGCAGGCCUAACACAUGCAAGUCGAACGAGUGGCGGACGGGUGAGUAAUGUCUGGGAAACUGCCUGAUGGAGGGGGAUAACUACUGGAAACGGUAGCUAAUACCGCAUACCAUCGGAUGUGCCCAGAUGGGAUUAGCUUGUUGGUGGGGUAACGGCUCACCAAGGCGACGAUCCCUAGCUGGUCUGAGAGGAUGACCAGCCACACUGGAACUGAGACACGGUCCAGGCUCCUACGGGGGGCAGAAGUGGGGAAUAGGGCACAAUGGGCGCAAGCCUGAUGCAGCCAUGCCGCGUGUAUGAAGAAGGCCUUCGGGUUGUAAAGUACUUUCAGCUGGGAGGCGUUACCCGCAGAAGAAGCACCGGCUAACGCCGUGCCAGCAGCCGCGGUAAUAC